UUGUUAGUGAAUCAACCUCCUGCAUAGCCAUGGACAGCUUCUCAUCUCCCAUCAACUCAGACAUGGCCACAGCACUCUGGCGAGCCAGGGCAGCCCUCUCUCCCCGUGCCUGAGAAUGCAAUGAUGCAGGCUUCAGUGUGGGCUUCUGUGGCAGCUGUGUUGGCCCGAGCAGCCUCAGUCCGCAGCUGUGCCUGAAGGGCUUCCACCUCAUCAAGAACCAGCACAGACACCCGGCCCAUCCUUUGCUCCACAGCUUCCAGUUCAGAAGUUCUUUUCUAGAACACAAGAAAUCUUUCAUAUGAUAAACCUUCACAUUUCAUAGUUAUAAGUUAUGUAUUUUCUGUUAUAUCCUAAACACAAAUAGUGAUCAAAAUAAUAAAAUAUAAACCUUUA